rnacentral:rRNA from 1 species
UCCAGAGAACUUAGCAGNGAUGCUUUGGUGCCUUCGGGAACUCUGAGACAGGUGCUGCAUGGCUGUCGUCAGCUCGUGUUGUGAAAUGUUGGGUUAAGUCCCGNAACGAGCGCAACCCUUAUCCUUUGUUGCCAGCGAUUCGGUCGGGAACUCAAAGGAGACUGCCGGUGAUAAACCGGAGGAAGGUGGGGAUGACGUCAAGUCAUCAUGGCCCUUACGAGUAGGGCUACACACGUGCUACAAUGGCGCAUACAAAGAGAAGCGACCUCGCGAGAGCAAGCGGACCUCAUAAAGUGCGUCGUAGUCCGGAUCGGAGUCUGCAACUCGACUCCGUGAAGUCGGAAUCGCUAGUAAUCGUGGAUCAGAAUGCCACGGUGAAUACGUUCCCGGGCCUUGUACACACCGCCCGUCACACCAUGGGAGUGGGUUGCAAAAGAAGUAGGUAGCUUAACCUUCGGGAGGGCGCUUACCACUUUGUGAUUCAUGACUGGGGUGAAGUCGUAACAAGGUAAGCGUAGAUGA